AUUAGAUGAGCCCAAGUCCGAUUAGCUAGUUGGCGGGGUAAAGCCCACCAAGGCGACGAUCGGUAGCUGGUCUGAGAGGACGAUCAGCCACACUGGGACUGAGACACGGCCCAGACUCCUACGGGAGGCAGCAGUGGGGAAUAUUGGACAAUGGGCGCAAGCCUGAUCCAGCAAUGCCGCGUGUGUGAAGAAGGCCUGCGGGUUGUAAAAGCACUUUAAGCAGGAAAGAAGGGCGGGGUGAUAAUACCACUUCGCAUUGACGUUACCUGCAGAAUAAGCACCGGCUAACUCCGUGCCAGCAGCCGCGGUAAUACGGAGGGUGCGAGCGUUAAUCGGAAUUACUGGGCGUAAAGCGCGCGUAGGCGGUUUGAUCAGUCCGUCGUGAAAGCCCCGGGCUUAACCUGGGAACUGCGGUGGAUACUGUCGGGCUAGAGUGUGGUAGAGGGGAGUGGAAUUUCCGGUGUAGCAGUGAAAUGCGUAGAGAUCGGAAGGAACACCAGUGGC
rnacentral:rRNA from 1 species